rnacentral:rRNA from 1 species
GAUGAACGCUAGCGGCAGGCUUAACACAUGCAAGUCGAGGGGCAGCAUGACACGGAGAUUCGUCGAAGUGUUGAUGGCGACCGGCGCAAGGGUGCGUAACGCGUGAGCAACUUGCCCGUUUCUGGGGAAUAACCGGUGGAAACGCCGACUAAUACCCCAUAGUAUAACGAAGAGGCAUCUUUUUGUUAUUAAAGAAUUUCGGAAACGGAUAGGCUCGCGUGACAUUAGCUAGUUGUGGGGUAACGGCCCACCAAGGCGACGAUCAGUAGCCGGUCUGAGAGGAUGAACGGCCACAUUGGGACUGAGACACGGCCCAAACUCCUACGGGAGGCAGCAGUGGGGAAUAUUGGGCAAUGGGGGAAACCCUGACCCAGCAACGCCGCGUGAAGGAAGAAGGCCUUCGGGUUGUAAACUUCUUUUACCAGGGACGAAGAACGUGACGGUACCUGGAGAAAAAGCAACGGCUAACUACGUG